CAAAAAUCCAAUUUUUAAAUACCUUAUUCCAUGUUUUGAACCAUAUUUUCCUAAUGGGUAGUGUAAUUACUUGAAAUAAAUAUAAUAAUUUUGGUACCAGAAACAUUUUAACUGCUCUAACCCUACCUAGAAUAGAUAAAUUCUUAUUUUUCCAUGAUUUUAUAUCCUUCUUGAUCUUCCUCCACACUUCUUUGUAAUUUACAUCUGGAAUCCUAGCAAUAUUUUUAAUAAUAUUUACCCCCAAGUAUUUAAUUUUCCCCCUAUUGAUAUCCAUCUUUGUCAUUUUUGCAAUUUCCUUCUUCUCCUCUUUAUUUACAUCCCAAAAUAAAAUUUCACACUUCUCCAAAUUUACUCCCAAUCCUGACUCCUCUUUAAAGUCCUUCAUGAUUAUCAUAAGUUCUCUUACACCCUCUAAGGGGUUUGUAAAUAAUAAUAGGAUAUCAUCUGCAUACAUGUUUAACUUGAUUUCUUCCUUUCCUUUCUUAUAUCCUCUUAUCCUUACUGAGUUUUGUAUUCUAUCUGCCAAGUACUCCAUACCCAAUACAAAUAGUAGUGGUGAGAGUGAACACCCUUGUUUAACUCCUCUUUGUAUAUUGAAUUGAUCUGAAACCCCCUCAUUCCCUCUGACCACAGCCUUCCCUUCUCUAUACAAUUCCUGGAUUGCUUCCACAAAGUUCUCUCCUAAUCCUACCACCUCCCUCAUAAUAUUCCAUAAGAACUUACGUCUAAUCGUGUCAAAGGCCUUAUACACAUCCAAUUUUAAUACCACCAAUUUUCCUUUUACCCUGCUUGUUAAUA